GACGAACGCUGGCGGCGUGCUUAACACAUGCAAGUCGAACGAAGUGGCGAACGGGUGAGUAACGCGUAAUCAACCUGCCCUUCAGAGGGGGACAACAGUUGGAAACGACUGCUAAUACCGCAUACUGAAGGAGGGGAUUGCGUCUGAUUAGCUUGUUGGAGGGGUAACGGCCCACCAAGGCGAUGAUCAGUAGGCGGUAUGAGAGGAUGAACGGCCACAUGUGGACUUAGACACGGCAAAGACCCAUACAGGAGGCAGCCGAGGGGAAGCUUCCGAAAUAGACGCAAGUCUGACGUAGCAACGCCGCGUGAAUGAUGACGACCUUCGUGUUAAAAAGCUACGUUAAUCGAAACGCGGUACCGGAUUAGAGAGCCACGGCAAACUACGUGCCAGCCGCCGCGGUAAUUC
rnacentral:rRNA from 1 species